CCGGAAUGUGAUGUCCGCAUACGCAUUUGAGGAUCCGCAUCCGUGCUUCCGUUUCCGCAAAAAAAUAGAACAUGUCCUAUUCUUGUCUGCAAUUGCAGACAAGAUUAGGCAUUUUCUAUUAUAGUGCCGGCGAUGUGCGGUCCCCAAAUUGCCGGUGGCCGUG